UACGAAGGGGGCUAGCGUUGCUCGGAAUUACUGGGCGUAAAGCGCACGUAGGCGGAUCUUUAAGUCAGGGGUGAAAUCCUGGAGCUCAACUCCAGAACUGCCUUUGAUACUGGGGAUCUCGAGUCCGGGAGAGGUGAGUGGAACUCCGAGUGUAGAGGUGAAAUUCGUAGAUAUUAGGAAGAACACCGGUGGCGAAGGCGGCCCACUGGUCCGGUACUGACGCUGAGGUGCGAAAGCGUGGGGAGCAAACAGG
rnacentral:rRNA from 1 species